AUUCCAAUCAGACCCUAGUUAAUCUAGAAUACUUUAUGAAUCGGGCAAAAACAAACUGGUACAAACAACCAAAUUAAGAUUCAAUGCUGCCACCAAAGCAAUUUAUAACUUACUUUAAUACACCGAAGCUUUAGUGCCAAAACUACAUCACUAACAAACAUAUAUUCCACUCAAAUAUGAAUUGAAUCUAAUUUAGCACAAUUGAUAAAUGAAAACAAGCAUUGAAUAUAAAACAACAUAUUGCACCUCCAGUAUCGAAAAAAUUUAGGCAGGAUCAGUUGUAGCUAGAAUUAACAGCCUCCUCAAAAAGCAGGCAAUGGCUGCGCAUAAUAAGCUCCUAAUUAACCAAGCAAGCUUAAGAUAUUAGUUGUCUUUGACAACAUGAAAUUUUCAUUUACAAAAAUCAAAAUAACAAAAAACUCAAAUCUAUAGUUAGUUUAUAGUUUGAGAAGAUGAUACACUAUCUUUCUAGUUUUGCCUAUCAGAAGGUGAUAUCAUCUAAUAUCUUAAAAAAAUUAGUUAGUGGGAUUAGAUUGUACUUCGUUACUUUUUUUUUUCUUUUUAAAUGCACCUUUAGUUGAUCCGCUUGAUUACUGGAUGCCACAGAUUAAAAGUAUAUUCAGUGGUUAUCAUCUACAUAACAUAAAAAGACUGAUGUGAAUUGGCAUAAGAUCUCAGCGUUGUCAUAAUCAUGGACAUUGGACUGGGAGAGGGCAAUACUUGCAGCAAUUCCACCUUCAAGAUGCUGGGAACUAGAGCUUUCACCUCCAUUCACACUCUUCUGUCACAAUCCAGAACAAAUAUAAGCGAUGAAUGACGUUAUAAUGUACGGAGUAAUGCCUCAUUCUCACAUCAAAUCCAUGUAACCAACAAACAGAAAACUCCACAAAAAUUUCAAGAUCAUGCAAAUUAAAAUAAACUCAAAAUAAAUAUAAAACUCCACAUUGUAGUGUCAGGUGAAAGCUCAAAGUCGCAGCUUAAAACUGUUUUCAGGCAUCAUCAUCAACUAGCUCAAUGAAGUUUUGCUUGAAUCACUCUACUUGUCUAAUAAGGCAAUGCUCUUCAAAAACAUCGGGAACAUCACAGGGCAUAAACAUAAAAUAAAACUAAAAAUCAAAAUUCAAAUUUUAACCCAUCUAAGCUAUGAAAUUCAAGCUCUGAGUUAGCAUCAAUGUCAACCCCGUUUUAACCCAUCAUCAUCUAAGCUUCAAGAUAAUCACAGCUCAAUAAAGUCACCAAUUUCUUAUUUCGUUUUUUGAAUUCAGGCGUCACCGCAAAUAAACCCAGAACAAAUACUCAGGCGUGAACAACUAUAAACAAGCUAUUCUACAUUUUUUUAAAAAAAAUUAAGGCAGCAUAAAUAUACGCUCUAAAUGAACCCUAACAAGACUUGGUUCCGAUAUUGACCUGUUAUUAUUGGCUUUCCCAAAACCAUCCGAAGAUGUAGGAUGCCAACGAAACUCAGAUCAAGGUGCGGUGGCUGUUUUAGCUUCACUUCGCACAGAGAUAAAAAAUCGGGCGUGAAUUUAGUUUUACAAGUUAUACACUCCGCAUGUGACUCAAAAGAUGCAAAACUUUUGGCCUUUUCAGGUGCGAUUACCAAAAUUCCCUUAGCCAUCUUAAGACAACUAAGGUCGGGC
rnacentral:lncRNA from 1 species